GACGAACGCUGGCGGCGUGCUUAACACAUGCAAGUCGAACGAAGUGGCGAACGGGUGAGUAACGCGUAAUCAACCUGCCCUUCAGAGGGGGACAACAGUGGGAAACGACUGCUAAUACCGCAUACUGAAGGAGGGGAUUGCGUGUGAUUAGCUAGUCGGAGGGGUAACGGCCCACCAAGGCGAAGAUCAGUAGCCGGUCUGAGAGGGUGAACGGCCACGUUGGGACUGAGCCACGGCCCAGACUCCUACGGGAGGCAGCCGGGGGGAAACUUCCGCCAUGGACGAAAGUCUGACGAAGCCACGCCGCGUGGGUGAUGACGGCCUUCGGGUUGUAAAGCUCUGUUAAUCGGGACGCGGUACCGGAAUAGAAAGCCACGGCUAACUACGUGCCAGCAGCCGCGGUAAUAC
rnacentral:rRNA from 1 species